rnacentral:rRNA from 1 species
AGUGAACGCUGGCGGUAGGCCUAACACAUGCAAGUCGAACGGCAGCACAGUAAGAGCUUGCUCUUACGGGUGGCGAGUGGCGGACGGGUGAGGAAUACAUCGGAAUCUACUUUUUCGUGGGGGAUAACGUAGGGAAACUUACGCUAAUACCGCAUACGACCUACGGGUGAAAGCAGGGGAUCUUCGGACCUUGCGCGAUUGAAUGAGCCGAUGUCGGAUUAGCUAGUUGGCGGGGUAAAGGCCCACCAAGGCGACGAUCCGUAGCUGGUCUGAGAGGAUGAUCAGACAAACUGGAACUGAGACACGGUACAGACUCCUACGGGAGGCAGCAGUGGGGAAUAUUGGACAAUGGGCGCAAGCCUGAUCCAGCCAUACCGCGUGGGUGAAGAAGGCCUUCGGGUUGUAAAGCCCUUUUGUUGGGAAAGAAAAGCAGCAGGUUAAUACCCCGCUGUUCUGACGGUACCCAAAGAAUAAGCACCGGCUAACUUCGUG